ACGAGUAUUUAAAGUGGUCUAAUGUCCACUAACAACUUAGUGCAAAAUCUUUCUAUAUAACCUGAAGGAAAUAGGUUUUGAAUCAAAAUGCGAGGAAUUCAGUUGCAUAUUGCAUAUUGUCCAUGAUUCCAUAGUUCGUCCUUUUUUUCAGGAGCCCUUUGAUAUUUUUCGGUCCGCCUUUUAAAUACUUACUCGGUAUCACUCAAAAGUUUUUACUUGAAUUGAGCGGUCAGUCUUCUUCCUGACUCUUGGUUGCGCAUUUACUAAUACAUAUUUAUUAAAAAAAAAAGUUAUAUUCCUAAACAUUUGCUUGUUUAAGCACGGAACUGUAGUUACCUUUCCCCUUACAUAUGUAUGCAGUAAUGAACCCUAUAAGAAUUUACGCCGUGCUCUCAAUAAAUCUUUGAUUACACUUUGACUCUCCUAAAACACUGCUUUGACAACAGAAGCGAAUUAAGUGCAAGUGAAAUACGCUUGUAAAAUUUUUGGUGGUGUAGUAUGUGUAAGCAUACAGAUAAAAAUAGUAUUUGCGUUAGUAUAUAUAUGUAUGUACAUACAUACGUAUGUACAUAUGUAUAUUUUCAAAGGACGAACACCCGGCUAUAGAGAAGAGACCAUUGCAUAAACACUUUCCAUAAGUCAUUGGUGCUUGGUAGUCUAAGCAUAAGUUCAAAGUUGCCACACCGCAUAUGCUACAUUUAAGUGCAGUGUAACUUACCUAGUGCAAAACACUUUGUAUUUCAUCCAUCCAUGCAGAAGAGAGCUCCCGAGGCGAUGCAAACACCACUUUGGCAUGUAUAAAAGUGAUCCUCUUCAGCACAACUAUCCACAUACUUGUCCAAUGUUUGCUUAGAGGCUAAGCAUAAGAUACAUAAGGUGCAUUCUUUUGCAACCGAGCUACAAAAGAACACUCGCAUAAAUGACGAAAUACAUACAUGCAAAGCAACGACACAAACUAGACUAUUUAUUCGGGUUCAGCAAGGUGGGUUAAAAUAUAG